rnacentral:sRNA from 1 species
AUCCUGGAAAAAUUAGUUAAUUCAUUAUUUUAUUUCCAUUUUUCACAUUAAAAUGUUGGGAAUGCAAGAUUAAGAACCUGGGAAAGCAGCAAAAGGAAGGGAUCCCGUAAGCCUCUGGUGAAGCUGCCACUUAUGGGCCACUCAUAAGACUCAGAACCGAUAGAGUCUGGUCAGGGUCACUUGGGCCACCUGAGAGUCUAUCAUCUCUCGCUUAUGACAGAGGCUAAUGUCUUUAAUACCUUUAACGCCUGUUACGGCAGAAAAUCCUCGCCAGACUCAAGGAACAGAAAACUUUAACGUAUGGAAUGACUUCCACAAAUAUUUACUGAGAACCAGCACCCUCUGAAGCAGUGGGAUUCUAACAAGAUGGAUGGAUCUCAGCCUCCCUAGAGCUUAUUGUCCAGUGGAAAUAAAGACAAUGGACAAGCAAACAAAGAGCCCAUGAAGAGAAUAAGACAGAGUAAUGCGAUUGAGAAUGUGGGGCACCGGAAGUGGAGGGCACUGGAGCGGAUGUUGAAGCGGUGAGGAAGUUAGCGUCCCGGAUAUUGGAAACACACGCCAGGAGGGGUGAGUGAAGUAACAGCAGGGACUGUGGUAGCUGUAUCCUGGGGAGUGAGGAGGAAAGGGAGCGGAGGCAGCAAGGACUGGCUGCUGCGAAGAUGAUGUAAGGACCCGGCGAGGAGGUCAAAUGCUAUUCUAAUAGAAACUGGGAACACAACUCCGUGGACAAGAAUGAAGAGCUUCCGCGCUACUUCAGCCUGUUGGAGAUUGCGGAUGUAAGCUGCCACAGCCAAGAGUUGUCUUGAGAAAUUACCGGAACAGGAAGAGAGAAGUUCUGCGUUGCGAUCAGACGUGGUUGCUUUCUGGUGCGUGUUGGACGUGAGCACAUUGACCCCAGGUGUGGCCUCAACAUGGAGUCCUGGCUAGCCUCUCAGCUUCAAACCCCAUUGGUUACCACCGUGACGCUGCUGCUCUUCUGAAGGGUUUCAAAGGAAAGAGCUAGUGGUAGAAGCCACAAAUAAACGUAAGGUGGACAUUUGCAGAAUCUCAGACUAUGUCAUGGAAACCUAAUUAUUCUGUUUGUUCACAAAGGCAACUGGGUCAUAUAUGUCCACUUAAAAGCUGUGGCCUAGCAUGCCACCAACUCUAAAUGGUGGUAAGUCACUAGUGGGGUGGGGCUGUG